rnacentral:rRNA from 1 species
GACGAACGCUGGCGGCGUGCCUAAUACAUGCAAGUCGAACGCAGUGGGGACGGGUGAGUAACACGUGGGUAACCUCCCAUCAGAGGGGAUAACACUUGGAAACAGGUGCUAAACCGAUACUGAUGGAUGGACCCGCGGUGCAUUAGCUAGUUGGUGGGGUAACGGCUAACCAAGGCCACGAUGCAUAGCCGGCCGGAGAGGAGGAUAGGACACACUGGGACUGAGACACGGCCCAGACGCCUACGGGAGGCAGCAGUAGGGAAUCUUCGGCAAUGGGCGAAAGUCUGACCGAGCAACGCCGCGUGAGUGAAGAAGGUUUUCGGAUCGUAAAACUCUGUUGUUAGAGAAGCGGUAUCUAACCAGAAAGCAACGGCUAACUACGUGCCAGCAGCCGCGGUAAUUC